GAAUCCCGUCUUUGGCACGGAAACCCCAGGGCUUUUGUGAUGCGCUCUCGAAGAGUCGAGUUGUUUGGGAAUGCAGCUCAAAAUGGGUGGUGAACUCCAUCUAAAGCUAAAUAUUGGCGAGAGACCGAUAGCGAACAAGUACCGUGAGGGAAAGAUGAAAAGCACUUUGGAAAGAGAGUGAAACAGUACGUGAAAUUGUUGAAAGGGAAACGCUUGAAGUCAGUCGCGUCGACCGAGACUCAGCCUUGCCUUGGCUUGGUGUACUUCUCGGCUGACGGGUCAGCAUCAAUUUUGCCCCUUGGAUAAUGGCGAGGGAAAUGUGACACCUUUACGGUGUGUUAUAGUCUCUCGUCGCAUGCAAGGGUUGGGAUUGAGGAACUCAGCACGCACCUUUGGGUGUCGGGGUUUUGCCCACGAUACGUGCUUAGGAUGUUGGCGUAAUGGCUUUAAACGACCCGUCUUGAAACACGGACCAAGGAGUCUAACAUGCCUGCAAGUGUUCGGGUGGAAAACUCGUGCGCGCAAUGAAAGUGAUGGUUGAGAUCCCUGUCAUGGGGAGCAUCGACGCCCAGACCAGACCUUUUGCGACGGAUCUGCGGUAGAGCAUGCAUGUUGGGACCCGAAAGAUGGUGAACUAUGCCUGAAUAGGGUGAAGCCAGAGGAAACUCUGGUGGAGGCUCGUAGCGAUUCUGACGUGCAAAUCGAUCGUCAAAUUUGGGUAUAGGGGCGAAAGACUAAUCGAACCAUCUAGUAGCUGGUUCCUGCC
rnacentral:rRNA from 1 species